rnacentral:rRNA from 1 species
UGGGGAAUAUUGCACAAUGGGCGCAAGCCUGAUGCAGCCAUGCCGCGUGUGUGAAGAAGGCCUUCGGGUUGUAAAGCACUUUCAGCGAGGAGGAAGGUGGUGAGCUUAAUGCGCUCAUCAAUUGACGUUACUCGCAGAAGAAGCACCGGCUAACUCCGUGCCAGCAGCCGCGGUAAUACGGAGGGUGCAAGCGUUAAUCGGAAUUACUGGGCGUAAAGCGCACGCAGGCGGUUUGUUAAGUCAGAUGUGAAAUCCCCCGGGCUCAACCUGGGAACUGCAUUUGAAACUGGCAAGCUAGAGUCUCGUAGAGGGGGGUAGAAUUCCAGGUGUAGCGGUGAAAUGCGUAGAGAUCUGGAGGAAUACCGGUGGCGAAGGCGGCCCCCCUGGACGAAGACUGACGCUCAGGUGCGAAAGCGUGGGGCAGCAAACAGGAUUAGAUACCCUGGUGUCCACGCUGUAAACGAUGUCGAUUUGGAGGUUGUGCCCCUUGAGGCGUGGCUUCCGGAGCUAACGCGUUAAAUCGACCGCC